rnacentral:rRNA from 1 species
AUUGAACGCUGGCGGCAGGCCUAACACAUGCAAGUCGAACGAGUGGCGGACGGGUGAGUAAUGUCUGGGAAAUUGCCUGAUGGUGGGGGAUAACUACUGGAAACGGUAGCUAAUACCUCAUACCAUCAGAUGUGCCCAGAUGGGAUUAGCUUGUGGUGGGGGUAACGGCUCACCAAGGCGACGAUCCCUAGCUGGUCUGAGAGGAUGACCAGCAACACUGGGACGGAGACACGGUCCAGACUCCUACGGGAGUCAGCAGUGGGUAAUAUUGCACAAUGGGCGCAAGCCUGAUGCAGCCAUUCCGCGUUUAUGAAGAGGGCCUGCGGGUUGUAAAGUACUUUCAGCGGGGAGGCGUUACCCGCAGAAGAAGCACCGGCUAACUCCGUGCCAACAGCCGCGGUAAUUC